CUUUAAACCUUACUCUAGCAUCUAAAUUCUAGAUUUACUAAGUGAUACCCAGAACUCCUCUGUUCUCUCCUGGCCCUUGGCAGAUUCAAAUGGGUAAAUACAAUUUUACAAGUACAGGUUUACAAAGUAGUAGGUAAGAAUUUAAUUAAACUGUUACAAAGGCUAAGAAGAGUUAAAGUAGAUGAAUUGUGCAAAACUGGAUUCUAGAAACCUUACAGGGAAUGAAGAGAAAUUAUCAAAUCCAAUAAAAAUGUACUAAUAGGUAAAAUUAAUUACUUACACAAAAGCUUCAUAGGUUAUUGUGACAGGAUGAAGUGUAGAAAACCAAUUUUUCAAUCACUUAAUAAAUUACUUCUUGGAAUAUCUGGCCCUAGAGCUCAAACUGUGACAUACUAUUCAAAAUUUCCAUUUUUUUUCUUAAAACACAUAGCUAAGAGAUUUUUACUGUACUGUAUUGUUAGGCAGGAAAUUCCAGCACAGCCCUGGAUAUAAUAUAAUACCCUGAUUAGAUAAUUAUCUAUUUGUUAAUGACUUUUUGUGAACAAAAAUAUAGGAUACAGCAUAUACUUGAAAAGGUAAUCACAAAAAGAAAGUAACUAGAUCCUGACCACAGCAUAACCCUUUCUCCUUUAGCUUUAGUGAAGUUUGGCGAAUUAACACCAGGCAUAGAUUUGAUAUGGCAUGUUUUCAGGGUUCAUUUGCAUUCUCCCCAGUGAAUUCCCUAUACUACAAAGGACCUUGUGCACUGCUUGCUUUGCACACAGAAUAAUGAAGAUGCCAUGUGAUCUGCUAGCAAGAGAGCUGUGAAGAAAAUUGAGUAAUUAUUACUGACUAUAUUUUGCACAAUCUUUGCAUAAGCAAGAAGGUCUUAUUUUGAAAACAUUUAUCUUUUGUCUAAGCCAUACAUCACAGUUUAAUUUGACAGAGGGAAAAAAACCCAAAGAACAAGAAACUCUCCAUGUAAAAAACUGAGAAUGUCUUGCAGGACAACCAGGAUAUAAAUAUCUCAAUGAAGGCAUUUCAUCUAGAAAAAUGUAGUAAGUUCUUGAAGAUAGACACAUCCCUUUCUUUGAGGAUUUUUGAGAUUUAAACACAUAAUGGAGUAAUGAAGACUAUCACUGUGGAUAAAAGCACCAUUAUCUUGUGAACUCAGUAUCAACUUCCAUGUAGCAUUCACCGCUCCCAAGAACACAACCCCCCUGUUUUCUCAAGUGUCCAUUUGAGCCUCACACGUCACUCUCACUACAGAUGUGCAUCUUGCACUGUAUUUUUUGGCUCAGCCUCCUCCUGCUCAUCUCAAAUAUGCAGGCCCUCUAGGUUCACUAAGUGCUUUGAACAGAGCAAGACAGAAAAGUAAACAGCACCUUGGCACAUACUUGGCCACUGGUCUGAUGGGGCCCAUCCUAUCUGUUAGUGCACUCUCGUGGUUUUCCCAUAUGAAACUAAGCAGUGCUGUGGCAGGAAUCAAGAGCUGCACGGACCAGGAAUUAGUCCUGACCAGCUCUAUGACACCAUCACCAUUUUGUGAGCAGAGCAUGGGAAAAGCUAAGCCAUAUGGAUACCAGCCUUUUCAUCCUACUAGUCCUCAGGACCACAAAAUGCCCUUCAUAAUUUUAUUAAUAUAGAUGUAUCCAUAAAAGUCAGCUCUCUGAGUGCUCAAGAAGAGACGGCUGACAUCCAAAUCAGAAAAGCCUGGAGCUAUUCAUACAGAAACAGGAACUCUGUAAGAGCCUGCCAACAGAAGAAACAGAUGUUUUCUGUGCUACAGAACUUGGAAAUCCUCAAUAGCUACUCCCCACUGAAUCAAACAAAACAAACAACAAAAAAUAAACCCAAACCAAAAUCCAAAGCAAAUCUGGGGUCAGUGUUAGUUUAACAUAGAACCAUAAACCCUAAAAACAUAGUUCUUGUUGGCUGGGAUUUGAGCACUCAAGUGGAUAGAUGUGUAUUUAUGCCCUCAAAGGAAAAGCUAUGACAGCUGGCCAAAACUGAGCUCUGAUGGGGCUUCACAAGUUCCUCUCAGAUUCACAGAUAAAAAUAGGUGUUCUGUCAGUAGCAAGACAAACCACAAGGAAAAGGCUAAUGAGGAUUUGGAAAUGAAAGACAAUAAUUGAAAAGCAACCAUAAAAAUACGGACAAGAUUGCCGAUGGCAAUGCAGGACACUUACUCUGCCUAUGUUUGACUUUAAUUCUGGUUGAAGCAUGAACUUACUGUACUCCUAAAUUCCAUAGGAAAUGGGAGCCAGAUAAAUCCUGACAGCACUAUAGAAGAGGAGACCGUUCUAAGGAUAUGAUGACUGAAGUAGUCAUGCCAAGUUGGAAGAAAACUGGAGGAAUGACAUUCCUCUAAAACUACAAAAUUUAGUUCUUAAUGCUGAGUCUUCACAAAAGCCACUGAGGGACUGUAAACUUUACAUGAGGAAAACACACUGUGAAGAAACUUGCUCAAGGAUGGAGGAGCAAGUAUUUGAAAUGCCCAUCAGCAGCUCAUGAAGAAAACUGGCUGCACAUGGACUGAAUAACAGAGAUUCAGUUCAAAAGAAAAAUCAUUUAACAUGUCUGACUUUGAAAUAUAUAGUAAUGUUUACAAACACUGAGGAGACUGAAGUGAGAACCUGGAAAACAUGCAAAGAUGAAAUGCUGCAGAGUAUACUUACUGCAAAGAGUCCAUUUGAAGGUAUGCCUGUGUAGGGCAUGAGGGCUGCCAGGCAUUUAGGCAUGGUGUUCACGUCUUUGGGGAAAAGCUGAAGAGUUACCAUGACCAACAAAGUAAAGCAAAGUAAAGUACAGCAAAAUAAAAUCAGAUGGAGCUCCAGAGACAGCAAGACUGACUGAUCUCAUCAUAUUUAGGCUUUUGAAAAAUAAUAGCUUCUUCUGGCCUUUACUUUUCCAAGAAAUUUUGGUGAUGUGAAGAGUAUUUAAGAGUGAUUACCGCACAGAGAUUUGGGAUAUUGAAAAAAUUCUGGAACCCAAGUAAAUCACUGAGCUUCAGAAAUGCCUCAUCUUGUGUGUGCCUUAGACCCAUCAGCACAUUAACAUCUACAGUGUUCAUCAACUUUGUUUCCUUGAGCAUCAUUCUUCCCCUAUAAUUUAUUUCAUAAUUUGCUAUGAAAGUUUUUGAAAUUCUCAGGUGUCUAUCACAACCCUUCAGUUGUGGAUCCAUACUUUAUAAUGGUGCAACCCAUUGUCUUCACCUGACAUACUUUCAACUCAAAUUUGCCCCUACAUGGUGCGUUCUCAGUACAUUGACAGCAGAAUUGAUUGUAAUGUCCAGACUGAAAACAAGCAAAACAAAACCAACACAAAACCAAAGAGAUUCAAAGAAUAGCACUGUGUAGUUUUGGUUCCUGAGCUACUGAUUCCUCAGCAUAAGCAGAACUGAAGGAUGUAAGAUUAUAAGGGAGCUCAAGGGAAAAUGUGGUUUAAUGUAGGAUGUUGAUUUUUCUGAAAUGAAAUGGAAAAAUGAGACUGUAUCACUUCAUUGAGCUUUAACAUUAUUAAACUGUCUGAAUUUACCCUUUUGUUCUCUUCCACAUUAUAUUAGUCCUUUAGUCUUCAAAUCUAGGGAAAUGAGGAGGUGAUAGGUCACCCUGCACUAACUAAAAUUUCAUAUAGAUAUCUAGCAGUGUGUUAACUCAUGAAAUUUAUGUCUCCUUCAGUAUUAUAAUGUCACUGCUUUGCUUCCCUGCAACA
rnacentral:lncRNA from 1 species